rnacentral:rRNA from 1 species
AUUGUUNCAGGCCUAACACAUGCAAGUCGAGCGGGGAAAGGUAGCUUGCUACCUGACCUAGCGGCGGACGGGUGAGUAAUGCUUAGGAAUCUGCCUAUUAGUGGGGGACAACAUUCCGAAAGGAAUGCUAAUACCGCAUACGCCCUACGGGGGAAAGCAGGGGAUCUUCGGACCUUGCGCUAAUAGAUGAGCCUAAGUCAGAUUAGCUAGUUGGUGGGGUAAAGGCCUACCAAGGCGACGAUCUGUAGCGGGUCUGAGAGGAUGAUCCGCCACACUGGGACUGAGACACGGCCCAGACUCCUACGGGAGGCAGCAGUGGGGAAUAUUGGGACAAUUGGGC